rnacentral:rRNA from 1 species
GAUGGUUUAAAAAGACGAGAAGACCCUAUAGAGUUUAAUAAAUAAAUUAUUUGAUAUUAUUUAUAAUUAUAAAAUUGAAAUUAAUUUAUUUAUUUUGUUGGGGUGAUAAAAAAAUAUAAAAAACUUUUUUUUUUAGUUAACAUUUAUAAGUGAUUAAAUGAUCCAAUAUUAUUGAUUAUAAGAAUAAAUUACCUUAGGGAUAACAGCGUAAUUUUUUUUUUUAGUUCA